GGGCAUUUGGUCUAGUGGUAUGAUUCUCGCUUUGGGUGCGAGAGGACCCGAGUUCAAUUCUCGGAAUGCCCC
rnacentral:tRNA from 1 species